CUAUAACUGGCCAAAACCCAUAUCUAAACCUUUUUAUGAAGUUACCAUGAGCCCUAUAUCAUUUGAAAGCUAAAAAUACAUGUCAAAUAAGAUUAAAAUAACCCGCUGAAUCUCACUCUCAAUCGAAUGACAAAUACCAUUUGGAAGCUAUAAAUACAAGUCAAAUAAGAUUGAAAUAACCCACUCAGCACUCAUUCAACAUCAAGACUGAAAAGCUAACUUGCGAACAAGAAUAAUUUCACUGAACUUCCGAACCAUAGCAUCCACUGCAUAUACAAGUUUAUGGGUAACAAUAGGAGAAUUUCUCGUCCGAAAGUAAUCUUCUGACAUGCUUCAGAGAUCUGACAAAACAAGCUUCAAACCGAAAACUAAACAAGAUUACAGAAGUCAAAGACAUAGUUCAAUACACAAAAGAAUCCUCAACUUUCAGUCGAACAAGAAAGUUUCCUCAUCAUGUUUACCCAUGGCAACCUAAUUCAAUUCAAAUACAAGCGCCCUCAUUUCAAACCGUUGAAAUGAUAGAUUAAAGAUAAGUUUUUAACAAAAAUAAUAAUAUUUCCCAAAAAAC
rnacentral:lncRNA from 1 species